GGCAACAGAAGGUUGAAACAGAGGAGCUUCGAGAUCCAUUCCUCCUCUUCGAUCUAAAAUCGCGAUCGAGAUCGAGAUCCGAAGGAUUGUUUGAGCUAUCAAUGGAUACUUCCUUCGCGCUUCGUGGCAUUCUUUCUGGCAAGGAUUCUGUCGAUGGGCUUCGUCGGCCGCUGAGUUUCGAGCAACUAAGUGGACAGAAGCCUGUAGCACAAUUCCCUUAUAGCUCUCCCUUCCAUGCCCGCCCAAGCAAUUCUCUGCCUGGAAGCAGAGCGAUUCAUGGAAGCCGAGCUGUAUCGGACUCUGCGAAAGGAGCAUUUGCAAACCGCCCCUUGUCACCUCAUAUUGCCCUAAAGAAACCGCAGAUUUCUGCUACCUACUCAAUUUCUCAUCGCAUUUUUGGAGGUGUUGUUGCCUCUGUCAUUCUAGCAAGCCCGAUACUGAUGAAGUACAGCCUGGUGUUUGAUGUUUGAAAUCGAACCUUCAGUUUUUAGUCCGAAAUGCUCUCAGAGUUAUGCUAGCUUAAAGCGAUGAAAUAAUGACCAAAUAUGUUUGUGGCACUUCGGAAGCAUGUGAAGUUGUUGAUUAAUUAUGUUUGGUGUUUGUGACUUAUUGCCUUCGGACAAAAGGAUCUAUCU
rnacentral:misc_RNA from 1 species